CUCCCCCUGCCGAUGGCAGAUCCGAAUGCACAUGUGCGGCAAGAGCCGCGUGCGCAUUGAAACUGCCCUUAGGAAAGCAUUACUCAGUGCUUUCCUAUGGACGUCCAGCGUCUUCUCACAGUGAGUUUUCAGUGAGAAUUGCGGAAGCGCCUCUAGCGGCUGUCAGUGAGACAGCCACUAGAGGCUGGAUUAACCCUCAGUGAAACAUCUCUGAAACUAUAUUUUCAGCUGCAGGGUUAAAAC